CUUUCUCAUUAUACGUACUAUGAAACAGCAAAUUGAGGAAGGGAAAGCGAAUCGGUUCUUCACAAGGACUUGUAAUGUGAACGUACAACAGCAAAGCCACAUUGGACUAUCUGCUGUGUCCAAAGUUAGAGAAUCGAUCUCCGGAUUUAGCGUUGGAAGUCCGUAGAUUUACCACUGUCCUAAAGGAGCAAUUGUGAAAAGCACACGCCGGCAAAUUUCCUCAUUCUUCUGUUGCUUCUUUUCAUCGUGUGUUCAAGCAGCUACGCGUCCAUUGAGACCACUUUGUGCUGACGUGUAACUUACUGUUCUAGAGGUGUUAUUUGAGGAAGUGAAUUCGCUUGACAGGGAUAAACAAGAAAAUGAUGUACAAGAACG
rnacentral:lncRNA from 1 species